rnacentral:rRNA from 1 species
UACGAAGGGGGCUAGCGUUGUCCGGAUUUAUUGGGUUUAAAGGGUGCGUAGGCGGCCCUGUAAGUCAGUGGUGAAAUACUCCAGCUUAACUGGAGGGGUGCCAUUGAUACUGCAGGGCUUGAGUUAAGUUGAAGUUGGCGGAAUUGACGGUGUAGCGGUGAAAUGCUUAGAUAUCGUCAAGAACACCGAUAGUGAAGACAGCUAACUAAACUUUUACUGACGCUGAGGCACGAAAGUGUGGGGAUCAAAACAGG